rnacentral:rRNA from 1 species
GACGAACGCUGGCGGCGUGCUUAACACAUGCAAGUCGAACGAAGUGGCGGACGGGUGAGUAACGCGUAAUCAACCUGCCCUUCAGAGGGUGACAACAGUUGGAAACGACUGCUAAUACUGCAUACUGAAGGAGGGGAUUGCGUCUGAUGAGCUAGUGGGAGGGGUAACGGCCCACCACGGCGAUGAUCAGUAGCCGGUCUGAGAGGAUGAACGGCCACAUUGGGACUGAGACACGGCCCAGACUCCUACGGGAGGCAGCAGUGGGGAAUCUGCCGCAAUGGACGAAAGUCUGACGGAGCAACGCCGCGUGAGUGAUGACGGCCUUCGGGUUGUAAAGCUCUGUUAAUCGGGACGCGGUACCGGAAUAGAAAGCCACGGCUAACUACGUGCGAGCCGCCGCGGUAAUAC